rnacentral:lncRNA from 1 species
AAAAGAGAUCCCGUCUCUUAGAAAAAAAAGUCUAAAAACCCCAAACAAAAGCAAUCGCAUAGACUAGUCUUAGGAGUUCACUACCUUGAUAACAGCGCUAGAGAUACUCAGACACUGAGCCCUUUCUAAAAUAAUGUAGACGUGUAUCAAAGACCAGACAGUUUUAUUGUUCUUUUCAGCAAUUCCUCAUAGAUGGUGUUCUUAAUUUCCUUAUACAUAUAUGAAUCAGAACCCACCCCCCAACCCCCUUGUUUUCUUUUUCCUGGGCUUGGAGCAAGAGGCAAUUGCACUGGUGACUCUCCACAAUGACAUGAGUUCUCAGUUGUUCCAUGAAAGAUUAUUACAGUGCAACUACAAGAACAGCACAAUAAGAGAAAUGGUUCUCACCUCUUUGAUCUACAGAAACAUGUAGACCUCCAGGGCUUAACAGAAAAAUUUUCCUGGAACUCCUAAACUUUAGGCAUAAGACCCAAAUAACUUCAUUCCUAGCCUUUUAGUUUGUACCCAGGUAUCACAAACUUAUUUACAAAGUUUAUUCUGACCUAUGCAAAUAAAAUUGGGCACUUUAUUAAAACUUCUUUGAAUCUAUUACUCAUGAAUAAAACAUGAAAAAUACUCAUACUGAUGGAUAACACUUUACACAACACUGAAUCAACUCCCCUUUGCUUGCCUCCUCCUAAAGGACUGGCUUAAUUUCAGUAGUAGAACCCAAACAUGAAUCAAUCUCAUGACUAAGCAUUAACUAUGCAUCCAUUUAGCAAAUGAAAGUUUAUUUUAGCAUUUGAAAUUCUGUGGUUCUUCAGGAAUAUAGCCAGAUAAAUGAUUUUUACUAACAAAUGCAACUAACACCAUUUCAUCUCCUCUCUAGGAAUGACUGAAGACUCUUGACUAUCAUCUAUUCAGCACCUGGAAGCAUUACCUUUUUGUAAUACGAAAAGAAAAACAGCUGAAAGAAAGAAAAUAUACUUGUCCCUUCAAAUAUAGAUCAUAUAAUCAAAUACACCUUAAUUCACUGCAACAAGAAACAAAACAAGAGCAACCCACUGCAACCAUAGACUGGCUGCCAGAAGUACCAGAUGACUGGAACAUUAGCUGGGUUCGGUGGAGUGUGCCUGUUCUACCAGCUACUUGGGAAGCUAAGGCAGGAGAACUGCUUGAGCCUGGGAGGCGGAGGUUAGAACCCAGUGCAAGCACUUGCAGACAUUCAAACUGGAGUGAAGGCUAGAGGAGGAAAGUUAAAUCUCUUCUAAGGAAGGUGUGAUGUGCGAAUACAAACUCUUAACUUCUGCUGCCACUUAAUAACUCUGAGGGAAGCCACCAGAAGAGAAGUCAACAGUGCAUAAAGGUUGCGCCUAAACAGCUGCAGUGAAAUGAAGCUGGAGCCACGUUCAAAUUACACCCUGAACACAUGCCCCCAAAAACUCCUUUUAAAUUUUGUGAACCAGCCAAAUUCCUUUAUCUCCUCUUUGACCUAUAAACCACAGCAUUCUAACUGAUAGAGAACUCCAAAGGCUGAUUCAACCU